rnacentral:tRNA from 1 species
GGGGAUUUAGCUCAGUGGGAGAGCGCUUGCCUAGCAAGCACAAAGCCCUGGGUUCGGUUCCCAGCUCCA